CUAUCAUUGAAGUUUGCAAUGGGAUUACAUUUCUUGACCUUAUUGUGAUUCAGAUUGAGUCCCUGAACAAGAAGUAUGGAUGCAGUGUUCCUUUGCUUCUAAUGAACUCUUUCAAAACUCAUGAUGACACACAGAUGAUUGUUGAGAAGUACUCCAACUCCAACAUUGAAAUUCACACUUUCAACCAGAGCCAAUACCA